CAUUACGGCCAUACCACCAAGGCACGCCCGAUCUCGUCUGAUCUCGGAAGCUAAGCAGGGUCGGGCCUGGUUAGUACUUGGAUGGGUGACCGCCUGGGAAUACCAGGUGCUGUAAGCA
ensembl:rRNA 5S_rRNA 5S ribosomal RNA